GACGAACGCUGGCGGCGUGCUUAACACAUGCAAGUCGAGCGGUAAGGCUCCUUCGGGAGUACACGAGCGGCGAACGGGUGAGUAACACGUGAGCAAUCUGCCCAUCUCUUUGGAAUAAGCGUUGGAAACGACGUCUAAUGCCGAAUACGACCUCCUUUCGCAUGAUCGGAGGUGGAAAGCUCCGGCGGAGAUGGAUGAGCUCGCGGCCUAUCAGCUAGUUGGNGAGGUAACGGCCCACCAAGGCGACGACGGGUAGCCGGCCUGAGAGGGUGACCGGCCACACUGGGACUGAGACACGGCCCAGACUCCUACGGGAGGCAGCAGUGGGGAAUAUUGGACAAUGGGCGAAAGCCUGAUCCAGCAACGCCGCGUGAGGGAUGACGGCCU
rnacentral:rRNA from 1 species